rfam:Stegodyphus mimosarum contig46739, whole genome shotgun sequence.
GUCUUCGUGGUGUAGUGGUCAGCACGCUCGACGCGUAACCGAGUGGUACGUGGUUCAAUUCCCGGCGAAGGCG